rnacentral:rRNA from 1 species
UACGUAGGGGGCAAGCGUUAUCCGGAUUUAUUGGGUUUAAAGGGUGCGCAGGCGGCGUGUCAAGCAAGCGGUAAAAUAGCGGGGCUCAACCCCGUCGAGCCGUUUGAACUGGCGCGCUUGAGUUCGGGCGAGGUAGGCGGAAUUCGUGGUGUAGCGGUGAAAUGCAUAGAUAUCACGAAGAACUCCGAUUGCGAAGGCAGCUUACCAGUCUGCGACUGACGCUCAGGCACGAAAGUGUGGGUAUCGAACAGG